CAAUAGACAGAUAGAUUGUAGAACCCUAUGUACAGUCAAACCUGUGUAUAGCAACUGACCAAGGGAAACACAAAAAGUGGUCUUUGUAGACAGGUGGUCACUAAAGCAGGUUUGACUGUAGUAGAAUCUGACUGCUUACUGACCUGUACUGAGGUGAUGGAUCCCUUCUUGGUGGUGGUGAUACGCUCCUGCAUAGUACCCAUGUCAGUGGCCAGGGUUGGCUGGUAUCCUACAGCAGAUGGGAUACGUCCCAGCAGAG